rnacentral:rRNA from 1 species
UACGUAGGGUGCGAGCGUUGUCCGGAAUUAUUGGGCGUAAAGAGCUUGUAGGCGGUCUGUCGCGUCUGCUGUGAAAAUCCGGGGGCUCAACCCCGGACUUGCAGUGGGUACGGGCAGACUAGAGUGUGGUAGGGGAGACUGGAAUUCCUGGUGUAGCGGUGAAAUGCGCAGAUAUCAGGAGGAACACCGAUGGCGAAGGCAGAUCUCUGGGCCGUAACU